rnacentral:tRNA from 1 species
UGAGUUGUGGCUCAGUGGUAGAGUACUUGCCUAGGAUGUUUGAGGCACUGAGUUCAAUCCUCAGCACCACAU